CGGAAGGAUCAUUAAAGAGUAAGGGUGCUCAGCGCCCGACCUCCAACCCUUUGUUGUUAAAACUACCUUGUUGCUUUGGCGGGACCGCUCGGUCUCGAGCCGCUGGGGAUUCGUCCCAGGCGAGCGCCCGCCAGAGUUAAACCAAACUCUUGUUAUUAAACCGGUCGUCUGAGUUAAAAUUUUGAAUAAAUCAAAACUUUCAACAACGGAUCUCUUGGUUCUCGCAUCGAUGAAGAACGCAGCGAAAUGCGAUAAGUAAUGUGAAUUGCAGAAUUCAGUGAAUCAUCGAAUCUUUGAACGCACAUUGCGCCCCUUGGUAUUCCGAGGGGCAUGCCUGUUCGAGCGUCAUUACACCACUCAAGCUAUGCUUGGUAUUGGGUGCCGUCCUUAGUUGGGCGCGCCUUAAAGACCUCGGCGAGGCCUCACCGGCUUUAGGCGUAGUAGAAUUUAUUCGAACGUCUGUCAAAGGAGAGGACUUCUGCCGACUGAAACCUUUUAUUUUUCUAGGUUGACCUCGGAUCAGGUAGGGAUACCCGCUGAACUUAA
rnacentral:misc_RNA from 1 species